rnacentral:rRNA from 1 species
UUAGUGGCGAACGGGUGAGUAACACGUGGGCAAUCUGCCCUUCACUCUGGGACAAGCCCUGGAAACGGGGUCUAAUACCGGAUACGAGCCUCCUGGGCAUCUGGGAGGUUGGAAAGCUCCGGCGGUGAAGGAUGAGCCCGCGGCCUAUCAGCUUGUUGGUGAGGUAACGGCUCACCAAGGCGACGACGGGUAGCCGGCCUGAGAGGGCGACCGGCCACACUGGGACUGAGACACGGCCCAGACUCCUACGGGAGGCAGCAGUGGGGAAUAUUGCACAAUGGGCGAAAGCCUGAUGCAGCGAACGCCGCGUGAGGGAUGACGGCCUUCGGGUUGUAAACCUCUUUCAGCAGGGAAGAAGCGAGAGUGACGGUACCUGCAGAAGAAGCGCCGGCUAACUACGUGCCAGCAGCCGCGGUAAUACGUAGGGCGCAAGCGUUGUCCGGAAUUAUUGGGCGUAAAGAGCUC